CAGAAGAUAGUUUAAUGGAGAAUACCAGCUUUGGGAGCUGGAGGUAGGGGUUUGAGUCUCCUUUUUCUGA
rfam:Tinamus guttatus contig46920, whole genome shotgun sequence.